GAUGGAUUGGGUGCUGCUUCCAUAAAGCCUUCUAGGAAACUUUGAAAGGAAGGAGAAGCAGAAGUAGCCUGUUGGGGUCGGCCCUUCUCAAGAGAACUAGAGUGCUAUGUGAAGUCACAGCUGGGAUGGAAUGCUCACAGGUGAAAAAGUUCCUGACUGCUGAACGACUAGUUACCCUCAGGCAAACACUGAACUCCCCAUUCCCUGAAGUUCAGCUCUGGCUGUCCCUGUCCAGUUCAGACCUCCAGGGCCAAACCACACCAUGAGCAGAGAAGCCAGGAAGUAAGACUACAACCCUGAUUACAAAUCUAGGACAGUCUUGGCAACACUUUGGCUGCUACAAUGUUGAUUUAAAAAAAACUUUCAGAAAGCAAGCUGAUGGGGUGAGAGAGCACUGAGAAUUCCAUUCUCCUAGGCACAGGCUGAAGACUUGACUCUGCAAGGAACUUAGACAGACGUCCUCAGGAGGAGUGAACAUGAGCCUGAGGGUUGCGUUAUGGAAAUAGAUGUGUACCCCUGCACAAGCCAGGGUUCUGCAACAUCAGCUGCUGCUCAUGUGUAGCCACUGGGUCAAGGCUAUCAUGGUCAUCAUUGUUAACAAUCAUCAUCAUCAUUGCAAGAAGCAAGCAGACUUGGAGAUGAACCAGAAUGUGAUGGUUUCCGACUGCCAGUCAGGAUGGCUCCCUCAGGGAUAACAGAACACGACUCUCUGGAAACAGAUUCCUGAGGCACAUCAGAGGAGUUUAGACGUUGCUGUCUGUAAAAGAAUUUCUAAUUUGUACCUUGCUCUGCCCAACUUGCUCCUGGGCAUCCUCACUGGGGUGCUUGAAGUUGGUAUGCCCUGUGUCCAGACAAGCAUCUUCUUGGGCUAUUAAUUAUGUGAUUAAAGGUCUGAACCUUCUCAUUUAAAAUGAUAAUAAAAUGUUUAAAGCUAUCCUGCUUAUAAACUUA